rnacentral:rRNA from 1 species
UAGAGUUUGAUCCUGGCUCAGGACGAACGCUGGCGGCGUGCUUAACACAUGCAAGUCGAACGAAGCUUGAUUACAGAUUCUUCGGAUGAAGUAUGAUAUGACUGAGUGGCGGACGGGUGAGUAACGCGUGAGUAACCUGCCCUUCAGAGGGGGAUAGCGUUUGGAAACGAACGGUAAUACCGCAUAAAGUAUUUUGACCGCAUGAUCGAAAUACCAAAGAUUUAUCGCUGAAGGAUGGACUCGCGUCUGAUUAGGUAGUUGGUGGGGUAACGGCCUACCAAGCCGACGAUCAGUAGCCGGACUGAGAGGUUGAUCGGCCACAUUGGGACUGAGACACGGCCCAGACUCCUACGGGAGGCAGCAGUGGGGAAUAUUGCACAAUGGGCGCAAGCCUGAUGCAGCAACGCCGCGUGAAGGAAGACGGUUUUCGGAUUGUAAACUUCUGUUCUUAGUGAAGAAUAAUGACGGUAGCUAAGGAGCAAGCCACGGCUAACUACGUGCCAGCAGCCGCGGUAAUACGUAGGUGGCAAGCGUUGUCCGGAAUUACUGGGUGUAAAGGGAGCGCAGGCGGGUGAUCAAGUCAGCUGUGAAAACUACGGGCUUAACCCGUAGACUGCAGUUGAAACUGUUCAUCUUGAGUGAAGUAGAGGUUGGCGGAAUUCCGAGUGUAGCGGUGAAAUGCGUAGAUAUUCGGAGGAACACCGGUGGCGAAGGCGGCCAACUGGGCUUUAACUGACGCUGAGGCUCGAAAGUGUGGGGAGCAAACAGGAUUAGAUACCCUGGUAGUCCACACUGUAAACGAUGAUUGCUAGGUGUGGGGGGUCUGACCCCUUCCGUGCCGGAGCUAACGCAAUAAGCAAUCCACCUGGGGAGUACGAC